rnacentral:rRNA from 1 species
CAGUCGCCGCGGUAAUACAGAGGGUGCAAGCGUUAAUCGGAAUUACUGGGCGUAAAGCGCGCGUAGGUGGUUUGUUAAGUUGGAUGUGAAAUCCACGGGCUCAACCUGGGAACUGCAUCCAAAACUGGCAAGCUAGAGUAUGGUAGAGGGUGGUGGAAUUUCCUGUGUAGCGGUGAAAUGCGUAGAUAUAGGAAGGAACACCAGUGGCGAAGGCGACCACCUGGACUGAUACUGACACUGAGGUGCGAAAGCGUGGGGAGCAAACAGGAUUAGAUACCCCAGUAGUCCCUGUCUCUUAUAA